AGAGUUUGAUCCUGGCUCAGGACUAACGCUGGCGGCAUGCCUCAUACAUGCAAGUUGAAUGGAGUCUAUUUAGUUUGUUUUAUAGACUUAGUGGUGCAUGGGUGAGUAACGCGUAGAUGACCUGCCCCGGAGCCUGGGAUAACACUCCGAAAGGAGUGUUAAUACCGGAUACGCUCGAGAGAACUUUGUGGUUCUUUCGAGGGAAGGGGGCCUCUGAUUCAAGCUCCUGCUCUGGGAUGGGUCUGCGUCCUAUUAGUUUGUUGGUAGGGUAAUGGUUUACCAAGGUGAUGAUGGGUAACCGGCUUGAGAGAGUGGUCGGUUACACUGGAAUUGAGAUAUGGUUUAGAUUCCUACGGGAGGCAGCAGUAGGGAAUUUUCCGCAAUGGGCGAAAGCCUGACGGAGCGAUGCCGCGUGAGCGAUGAAGGCCUUCGGGUUGUAAAGCUCUGUCAAGAGGGAAGAAAGGCGAUUACUUUAAUAUAGUAGUCGUUUGACGGUACCUCUGGAGGAAGCCCCGGUUAAUUACGUGCCAGUAGUUGUGGUAAUACGUAAGGGGCAAGCGUUGUCCGGAUUCACUGGGCGUAAAGGGCACGUAGGCGGGCGUACAAGUCAGAGGUGAAAGUUUUGAGUUUAAUUUGGGAAUUGUUUUUGAAAUUGUAUGUCUUGAGUACUGCAGGGGAAAGUGGAAUUUAUGGUGUAGUGGUGAAAUGUGUAGAUAUUAUGGAGAAUAUUUAUGGUGAAGGUAGCUUUCUGGGCAGAUACUGACGCUGAGGUGCGAAAGCUAGGGGAGUGAAUAGGAUUAGAUAUCCUGGUAGUCCUAGCUGUAAAUGGUGAGUACUAGGUGUCGGGGUGUAAAUCCCGGUGCCGGCGUAAAUGUAUUAAGUACUCCGCCUGGGGACUACGGCCGUAAGGCUAGAACUCAAAGGAAUUGACGGGGGCCCGCACAAGCGGUGGAGCAUGUGGUUUAAUUUGAUAUUAUGUGAAAAAUUUUACCUGGGCUUGAUAUCUCCGGCUAUUUUAUGAAAAUAGGGGUAGGGAGUGAUCCCUUUGGGAGAUAGGUGGUGCAUGGCUGUCGUCAGCUCGUGUUGUGAGAUGUUGGGUUAAGUCUCGCAACGAGCGCAACCCCUAUUGUUAGUUGUUAGUAUUAAGUUGGGGAUUUUAAUGAGAUUGUUUGUUAUAAGUGGGAGGAAGGUGGGGACGACGUUAAGUCAUUAUGCCCCUUACGUCCAGGGUUACACACGUGCUACAAUGGCUGGUAUAGAGAGUUGUAAUAUUGUAAGGUGGAGUUAAUUUUCAAAGCCAGCCCAAGUUCAGAUUGGGGAUUGUAAUUUAUCCCCAUGAAGGCGGAAUCGCUAGUAAUCGCGGAUUAGUAUGUUGUGGUGAAUACGUUCCCGGGCCUUGUACACACCGCCCGUCACACCACCCGAGUCGAGUGCACCCGAAG
rnacentral:rRNA from 1 species